rnacentral:lncRNA from 1 species
UAGUUUCUUGUAAGGCAGUGAGCACUGAAGAUUCAGUCUCUUUUCUUCCCUCUCUUCCCUGGACCAUUGAAGGAGAGUGAUUCAGAAUCUGCCCUGCAGAGUUCACAUCUUUCUUCAUGUAGGCUGUCCCAAAGCUAGAUUGGGGCUAAUCAUCCAAAUUAGGGAAGGAGAAAGCUUUAGAAAGCUCCUUUGUCCCUCAGACCUAAGCUACAUUCCCCAAUCAGUAUUAUCUGUCAUACAGAUGAUAUUUCAAUUUUCAUUUCCCAAACUCUUCCAUCUAUGUUCCCAUUUAAGUCAAACUGAUGCAGAAUCCAAAGGUUAGUCAUAGAAGGUAUAUUAUCCCGAUAAAUGUCACUUCAAUGCAGAAGCAGUUCUGCCUUUAUUUCCUUCUAACAUCGUUCGUGUGUGCACAUGCAUGUGUGCAAACUAAAUGAAAAGUUGCUAGAUUCAUAAAUACCAUGGAAGUACAGUGGGAAGGAUAAUAAGUUGGGUCAUGGCUAUGCCAUUAAUUAGCUGGGGAACUUGGAUCAUGGCUUAAACUCUGUUCUCCAGUUUCCUCCUUUCUAGUAUUCAUUGAUAUAAGCUCUUCAUUAAAAGAUAUUUAGUGUUCUGUGAUUCCAAAACACUAGUUCUGUGUUUACUAUACACAUGACUCAGUUUUGCUUUCCUGGGUCACUGAUAACUGUGACAUUUUGGUGGUCACAUAUAUAUUGAUGCAUCGCAAAUGAAAUGAGCAAAGUGAUUACUUGCAUUAUCAAUGAAUUAAAACUAUAUUGUGGGGCUGGCCCUGUGACCAAGUGGUUAAAGUUCUACAUGCUCUGCUUUGGUGGCCCAAGGUUUGCGAGUUCUGAUCCCAGGUGCAGACCUACUCCACUCAUAAACCAUGCUGGGGAGGCAUCCCACAUAGAAAGCAGAGGAAGAUUGGCACAGAUGUUAGCUCAGGGCUAAUCUUCCUCAAACAAAAAGAAAAAAAGAGGUCCAGCCCAGUGGUGCAGUGGUUAAGUGUGCACAUUCUACUUCUCGGCAGCACGGGGUUCACCAGUUCGGAUCCCAGGUGCACGGACAUGGCACCACCUGGCAAGCCAUGCUGUGGCAGGCUUCCCACAUAUACACUGGAGGAAGAUGGGCACAGAUGUUAGCUCAGGGCCAGUCUUCCUUAGCAAAAAGAGGAGGAUUGGCAGCACAUGUUAGCUCCAGGCUAAUCUUCCUAAAAAAAAAAAAAAAAAUGUAGAAGAGGAUUGGUAACAGAUGUUAGCUCAGGGAAAAUCUUCCUCACAAAACAAAAACAAUACUGUAUUGAAUAUAUUUAUUCAUUUGUUUGACAAGAGCAGCAAAGCAAGGGAACUCUCUCAUCAAAAUUUGAGUAGUAGGAUGCUGAUAGAGCAGUAUUGAAAAUAGUAAUUUGCAGACUAUGAAAAAUUAGGUUAUUAAUGAGCAAAUAUUCACUCUUCUUUUCAACCUUCAAGGGAGGAGUGCGCUUCCCCAUCUCGAAAAUGUUAGCCUUGGACCAGUGCCAGUGGCCUAGUGGUUAAAUUCAGCGUGGUCCACUUUGGUGGCCUGGGUUCAGUUCCCAGCCACAGACCUACACCACUCAUCAGUGGCCAUGCUGUGGAGGUCGCCCACAUACAAAACAGAGGAAGAUUGGCAACAGAUGUUAUUUCAGGGAAAAUCUUCCUCAGUGAAAAAAAAAAAAAUGGCUUGACCAUAUGACUGAUUUGGGGCAUUGGAAUGUUGGUGAAAAUGACAUUUUACAGUUCUUAGCCAGAGUCUUAACAGACAUCACAUGUUUCUUUUACUCCUCUUCUCUUUUGCUCUUGCCUUUCCACUAUGAGAAGAUCAUGCCUUGAGUAUUUGCUUAUUCAAAGGUGAUGAAGACAUGUAGAGAAGAUCUGGACCCAACUCACUACCAGGAGCCAAGUCACCAUGCUGUAGAACCCACCACAGAAGAAAGCACCUGACUCUGAAGAAGGACCCUCUUCCACCACACUUGCCUUGGAUAGAACUGCAGAAUUAACUUCACUCACCUUUACCUCCAGUAACCAUGAUUUGAGACUCCACCAUCUACAGAAACUUCAGCUUUCC